CAAGGCGACGAUCCCUAGCUGGUCUGAGAGGAUGACCAGCCACACUGGAACUGAGACACGGUCCAGACUCCUACGGGAGGCAGCAGUGGGGAAUAUUGCACAAUGGGCGCAAGCCUGAUGCAGCCAUGCCGCGUGUAUGAAGAAGGCCUUCGGGUUGUAAAGUACUUUCAGCGGGGAGGAAGGUGUUGUGGUUAAUAACCGCAGCAAUUGACGUUACCCGCAGAAGAAGCACCGGCUAACUCCGUGCCAGCAGCCGCGGUAAUACGGAGGGUGCAAGCGUUAAUCGGAAUUACUGGGCGUAAAGCGCACGCAGGCGGUCUGUCAAGUCGGAUGUGAAAUCCCCGGGCUCAACCUGGGAACUGCAUUCGAAACUGGCAGGCUUGAGUCUUGUAGAGGGGGGUAGAAUUCCAGGUGUAGCGGUGAAAUGCGUAGAGAUCUGGAGGAAUACCGGUGGCGAAGGCGGCCCCCUGGACAAAGACUGACGCUCAGGUGCGAAAGCGUGGGGAGCAAACAGGAUUAGAUACCCUGGUAGUCCACGCCGUAAACGAUGUCUACUUGGAGGUUGUGCCCUUGAGGCGUGGCUUCCGGAGCUAACGCGUUAAGUAGACCGCCUGGGGAGUACGGCCGCAAGGUUAAAACUCAAAUGAAUUGACGGGGGCCCGCACAAGCGGUGGAGCAUGUGGUUUAAUUCGAUGCAACGCGAAGAACCUUACCUGGUCUUGACAUCCACGGAAGUUUUCAGAGAUGAGAAUGUGCCUUCGGGAACCGUGAGACAGGUGCUGCAUGGCUGUCGUCAGCUCGUGUUGUGAAAUGUUGGGUUAAGUCCCGCAACGAGCGCAACCCUUAUCCUUUGUUGCCAGCGGUCCGGCCGGGAACUCAAAGGAGACUGCCAGU
rnacentral:rRNA from 1 species